GACGAACGCUGGCGGCGUGCUUAACACAUGCAAGUCGAACGGUGAAGCUCCAGCUUGCUGGAGUGGAUCAGUGGCGAACGGGUGAGUAACACGUGAGCAACCUGCCCCUGACUCUGGAAUAAGCGCUGGAAACGGCGUCUAAUACUGGAUACGAGAAGGGUCCGCAUGGGCACUUUCUGGAAAGUUGUUCGGUUGGGGAUGGGCUCGCGGCCUAUCCGCUUGUUGGUGAGGUAAUGGCUCACCAAGGCGACGACGGGUAGCCGGCCUGAGAGGGCGACCGGCCACACUGGGACUGAGACACGGCCCAGACUCCUACGGGAGGCAGCAGUGGGGAAUAUUGCACAAUGGGCGAAAGCCUGAUGCAGCGACGCCGCGUGAGGGAUGACGGCCUUCGGGUUGUAAACCUCUUUCAGCAGGGAAGAAGCGAAAGUGACGGUACCUGCAGAAGAAGCACCGGCUAACUACGUG
rnacentral:rRNA from 1 species